ACAGCAGUCGCCACGGGAAUACGUAGGUGGCAAGCGUUGUCCGGAAUUAUUGGGCGUAAAGCGCGCGCAGGCGGAUCAGUUAGUCUGUCUUAAAAGUUCGGGGCUUAACCCCGUGAUGGGAUGGAAACUGCUGAUCUAGAGUAUCGGAGAGGAAAGUGGAAUUCCUAGUGUAGCGGUGAAAUGCGUAGAUAUUAGGAAGAACACCAGUGGCGAAGGCGACUUUCUGGACGAAAACUGACGCUGAGGCGCGAAAGCCAGGGGAGCGAACGGGAUUAGAUACCCCCGUAGUCCCUGUCUCUUAUACA
rnacentral:rRNA from 1 species